rnacentral:rRNA from 1 species
ACACUCCUACGGGAGGCAGCAGUGGGGAAUAUUGGACAAUGGGCGCAAGCCUGAUCCAGCCAUGCCGCGUGAGUGAUGAAGGCCCUAGGGUUGUAAAGCUCUUUCACCGGUGAAGAUAAUGACGGUAACCGGAGAAGAAGCCCCGGCUAACUUCGUGCCAGCAGCCGCGGUAAUACGAAGGGGGCUAGCGUUGUUCGGAUUUACUGGGCGUAAAGCGCACGUAGGCGGACUAUUAAGUCAGGGGUGAAAUCCCGGGGCUCAACCCCGGAACUGCCUUUGAUACUGGUAGUCUUGAGUUCGAGAGAGGUGAGUGGAAUUCCGAGUGUAGAGGUGAAAUUCGUAGAUAUUCGGAGGAACACCAGUGGCGAAGGCGGCUCACUGGCUCGAUACUGACGCUGAGGUGCGAAAGCGUGGGGGGCAAACAGGAUUAGAAACCCUAGUAGUCCCAUGA